rnacentral:rRNA from 1 species
GCGGCAGACGGGUGAGUAACGCGUGGGAACGUACCUUUUGCUACGGAAUAACUCAGGGAAACUUGUGCUAAUACCGUAUGUGCCCUUCGGGGGAAAGAUUUAUCGGCAAAGGAUCGGCCCGCGUUGGAUUAGCUAGUUGGUGAGGUAAAGGCUCACCAAGGCGACGAUCCAUAGCUGGUCUGAGAGGAUGAUCAGCCACACUGGGACUGAGACACGGCCCAGACUCCUACGGGAGGCAGCAGUGGGGAAUAUUGGACAAUGGGCGCAAGCCUGAUCCAGCCAUGCCGCGUGAGUGAUGAAGGCCCUAGGGUUGUAAAGCUCUUUCACCGGUGAAGAUAAUGACGGUAACCGGAGAAGAAGCCCCGGCUAACUUCGUGCCAGCAGCCGCGGUAAUACGAAGGGGGCUAGCGUUGUUCGGAUUUACUGGGCGUAAAGCGCACGUAGGCGGACUUUUAAGUCAGGGGUGAAAUCCCGGGGCUCAACCCCGGAACUGCCUUUGAUACUGGAAGUCUUGAGUAUGGUAGAGGUGAGUGGAAUUCCGAGUGUAGAGGUGAAAUUCGUAGAUAUUCGGAGGAACACCAGUGGCGAAGGCGGCUCACUGGACCAUUACUGACGCCGAGGUGCGAAAGC